AUUAAUUAUGAACGCAUGCUAUAUCUGAAUUUUGGAGAAGAAAGCUUAAGAUCGUUAAGCAGGGAGCAAUUUAGGAUGGAAAUUCCGAAGGAAUUAGUAGGGCAAGCGGUAGUUCUUUUCCGAGCUGCAAAAUUGGAAACGCCGAAAAUAUUUAACAGGGGGUUGUAUCUUAUUUUUAAUUUUAAACUUAACACUACGAAAAAGUGUACGUCAAAAAGUCUGCGUACAGCUGUUUAAAGUCAAGUGGAAUGCAACAUUGUGCGACUACCGUUAAGAUUUCUGGCGCCGAUCUAUCUUCUGCAGAUUGUCUAUGCAUAAAACAUAUUUCAUAAAAAUUGUUGGCAAGCAACCAGGAGGUAUUUGAUACAGUAAAAUCUAUAAUUUAAAAGCCAAGGCAAAAAAGCAGUCUGCUGUUCAAUUCAGCGGCCCUUCCAACGUGAAAAAUACUUGCCCGAAUCCA